CUUAUCUCUUUUACCUCCCCCUUUUCUCCCUAACAUUUCUUUUUUCCUUUUCCCUCUCUGCCUUCUCCCCUCAGGCUCCCUUCGCCAAACGUACACCUGGGUCCGCCAAGCUAUACUCCCGGGACUGCACAUAAUGGGGAUGCAGAGCCCAUGCAACAACAGAGUUGGAAGGAACUUUAUAGACUAGAAAAUCUAGUCCAACGCCUUCCUAUGACUAUCUUGGCCCAGUGUGACACUGGGGCCAAAGCUAGUGAGGUCCAAAGUUGAGGAACACCCAAGUCUAAUAGACCCAAAGCACAAAAUAUAGUCGUCUCCAACAUUCUUCGGCUUCUCCCGGGGGAAAGCCAGGAAAAAAGAACGAGAGUGAAAGGGAGAGAAAAGAAAAGAGAGGGAGGAAAGCUAGAGAGAGAUCGAGGAGGGGGAAAAGAGAGGAGGAAGAAGGGGGGAAAGGAGAAACUUGCAAUGAGGGGACAGUAGGGAAAAAGGGGAAGAGAGGUAGAAGGGGAAGUGGGGAGAGGAGGAGAGGGAAAGAAAGAGGAAAGAGGGAAAAGAGAAAGGAGAGGGAGGAGUGAGGAAGCGAGUUCUUGGCCAGCUCCUAAGACAGCUUCCUUUAAGGUGCCGCAUUUGGGUUAAGGCCGGAACCGCAGCGGCAGCCUCCGCCUCCACCCCCCCACUCCGCAGCAGCCGCUCUGGGCUCGUUUGACUGCCCGCAAAGUCGGUCCCCCAUCCCCCAGGUUUUCCGGACUGGCUCCAGAUUCUACGUCAAAGAUCCUGGGGUCCCAGAAGGAGUUGCAGAGUGGAACCUCAGGUGCUGCUUGGAGUAGAGACCCUGACCUAGGAGUGCCGGUGCCAGCCUCCCUGGAGCAGCGUAGAGAGAAGUGCGGACCUGGGGACCCAUCUGUGUCGGAGGGCAUUCUAGAAGCCCAAGGUUUGAGGUAUGGACAGCUCCCCAACCGCACAAACAGGGUACCCAUCAGCCGGAAGAGUUGGGCAGCUGGAGCCUCAGAGAUUCAGCAAGGGUCCUGUGGGAAUCUCUAAGAAGAGAUUUCUGUCUCAACUCCAAGAAUGACGCUGAAUCCCACAUUCCUGGAGGGGUAAUACCAGCCCAACUGAAAGAGGUCAGAACAAGAACUCUUCCGACUCAAAGAUUUGUGUCCAAAUUGAUUUGCUACUGCAUACGUUCUUUUCU
rnacentral:lncRNA from 1 species